rnacentral:rRNA from 1 species
UACGAAGGGUGCAAGCGUUAAUCGGAAUUACUGGGCGUAAAGCGUGCGCAGGCGGCUUUGCAAGACAGAUGUGAAAUCCCCGGGCUCAACCUGGGAACUGCAGUUGUGACUGCAAGGCUAGAGUACGGCAGAGGGGGAUGGAAUUCCGCGUGUAGCAGUGAAAUGCGUAGAUAUGCGGAGGAACACCAAUGGCGAAGGCAAUCCCCUGGGCCUGUACUGACGCUCAUGCACGAAAGCGUGGGGAGCAAACAGG